GCGGGAUGGCGCCGCGGAGCGUCCGCUUCCCAAGCGGAAUGUCGAGGGUUCAAGUCCCUUCGCCCGCUCCA
rnacentral:tRNA from 1 species